CGUCCUCGAACUGGAUGAGGAGCAGGAUGGGUGCCAGGUCCCCUCAUCAGAGAGACUGCACCUGACAUUCUCUCCUGGGGCCACAUGAGCAUUCACCUCUCAGCACAUCGUGGAGACGAAGCAGAGCCCAGUGUACACCCCACACCUCAGAUGACCCCAGCUGGCGGAGCCAUCGGGAAACAGCCAGGGAGCUGCUCCAGCUGAGCCUGUGGACACGGAUGCUGGAGCCACCCAGAGAGAAGGCUGGCACACAGGGGCCUGGCCUAUCCAGGAGCCCCAUGAUCCUCCCUGCCCAGGACCUGCCAGGCUCUGCCAGCUCUGGUCAAUGCCAGAAAACAUCUGGGCCCUGGUCAGCUG
rnacentral:lncRNA from 1 species